AGUGGGGAAUCUUGCGCAAUGNGGGCAACCCUGACGCAGCAACGNCGCGUGAGUGAUGAAGGUUUUCGGAUNGUNAAGCUCUGUCAGGAGGGAAGAAACCCCGAAUGGUUAAUACCCGUUCGGAUUGACGGUACCUCCAAAGGAAGCACCGGCUAACUCCGUGCCAGCAGCCGCGGUAAUACGGAGGGUGCAAGCGUUGUUCGGNAUUAUUGGGCGUAAAGCGCGUGCAGGCGGUCUGUUAAGUCUGAUGUGAAAGCCCCGGGCUCAACCUGGGAAGUGCAUUGGAAACUGGCAGACUUGAGUACGGGAGAGGGAAGUGGAAUUUCGAGUGUAGGGGUGAAAUCCGUAGAUAUUNGAAGGAACACCAGUGGCGAAGGNGGCUUCCUGGACCGAUACUGACGCUGAGACGCGAAAGCGUGGGGAGCGAACAGGAUUAGAUACCCUGGUAGUCCACGCCGUAAACGNUGGGUACUAGGUGUUGCGGGUAUUGACCCCUGCAGUGCCGAAGCUNACGCAUUAAGUACCCNGCCUGGG
rnacentral:rRNA from 1 species